rnacentral:rRNA from 1 species
UACAGAGGGUGCGAGCGUUAAUCGGAAUUACUGGGCGUAAAGCGCGCGUAGGCGGCUUUUCAAGUCGAUUGUGAAAUCCCCGGGCUUAACCUGGGAACUGCAGUCGAAACUGUCUAGCUAGAGUAUGGGAGAGGGAAGUGGAAUUUCAGGUGUAGCGGUGAAAUGCGUAGAUAUCUGAAGGAACAUCAGUGGCGAAAGCGACUUCCUGGACCAAUACUGACGCUCAUGUGCGAAAGCGUGGGGGGCAAACAGG